rnacentral:lncRNA from 1 species
GCACAAAAUACAGGUCUGCUGUUUGUUUCCAAAGGAAGAACAUGAAUGCUCACAGAAUGAGCAGAAGCUUAAUGUCAUCAACUACAUGUGACACGUAAAAAGCCAAAAGAUUAUAAACUUUAGCUGCAUAGUUCAGAAGUGAACAUUUGAUCCAAUUUGAUCUCAGCUUAGAGCUACAAAUUAAAGCUGCAUGUGUGUGCAUAGCUGAAACCACGACAGGAAUAUUUACUAAGUACCUAUUCAUCACUGCCUAUUCUGCUACAUUCUCCACAAGUAUCAACAAACAAAUAUGGAGCCAGAUGUCAGAGUGCAAAGAGAAACAGCAGAAGAUAAAGAACCAGUGAUUAUUAGAGG